rnacentral:rRNA from 1 species
GGAGUUAGCCGGUGCUUCUUCUGCGAGUAACGUCACAGAUGUAAGGUAUUAACUUACACCCUUUCCUCCUCGCUGAAAGUGCUUUACAACCCGAAGGCCUUCUUCACACACGCGGCAUGGCUGCAUCAGGGUUUCCCCCAUUGUGCAAUAUUCCCCACUGCUGCCUCCCGUAGGAGUCUGGGCCGUGUCUCAGUCCCAGUGUGGCUGAUCAUCCUCUCAGACCAGCUAGGGAUCGUCGCCUAGGUGAGCCUUUACCUCACCUACUAGCUAAUCCCACCUGGGCUUAUCCAUCAGCGCAAGGCCCGAAGGUCCCCUGCUUUCCCCCGUAGGGCGUAUGCGGUAUUAGCAGUCGUUUCCAACUGUUAUCCCCCACAAAUGGGCAAAUUCCCAGGCAUUACUCACCCGGUCCGCCGCUCGUCAUCUUCAAAAGCAAGCUUUUGAAAUGUUACCGCUCGACUUGCAUGUGUUAGGCCUGCCGCCAGCGUUACAAUCUGAACCAACGAUACAAACUUACUAGA